rnacentral:rRNA from 1 species
UACGUAGGGUCCGAGCGUUGUCCGGAAUUACUGGGCGUAAAGCGCACGUAGGCGGCUUUGUAAGUUAGAGGUGAAAGCCUGGGGCUCAACUCCAGAAUUGCCUUUAAGACUGCAUCGCUUGAAUCAUGGAGAGGCGGGUGGAAUUCCGAGUGUAGAGGUGAAAUUCGUAGAUAUUCGGAAGAACACCAGUGGCGAAGGCGGCCCGCUGGACAUGUAUUGACGCUGAGGUGCGAAAGCGUGGGGAGCAAACAGG